rnacentral:tRNA from 1 species
GCUUGGCUGGCUCAGUCGGCAGAGCAUGAGACUCUUAAACUCAGGAUCCUGAGUUCAAGCUCCAUGUUGGGCA